AGAGUUUGAUCCUGGCUCAGGAUGAACGCUGACAGAAUGCUUAACACAUGCAAGUCUACUUGAAUUUGGGUUUUUAACUUAGGUUUGGGUGGCGGACGGGUGAGUAACGCGUAAAGAACUUGCCUCACAGCUAGGGACAACAUUUAGAAAUGAAUGCUAAUACCUAAUAUUAUGAUAAUAGGGCAUCCUAUAAUUAUGAAAGCUAUAUGCGCUGUGAGAGAGCUUUGCGUCCCAUUAGCUAGUUGGAGAGGUAACGGCUCACCAAGGCGAUGAUGGGUAGCCGGCCUGAGAGGGUGAUCGGCCACAAGGGGACUGAGACACGGCCCUUACUCCUACGGGAGGCAGCAGUGGGGAAUAUUGGACAAUGGACCGAGAGUCUGAUCCAGCAAUUCUGUGUGCACGAUGAAGUUUUUCGGAAUGUAAAGUGCUUUCAGUUGGGAAGAAAGAAAUGACGGUACCAACAGAAGAAGUGACGGCUAAAUACGUGCCAGCAGCCGCGGUAAUACGUAUGUCACGAGCGUUAUCCGGAUUUAUUGGGCGUAAAGCGCGUCUAGGUGGUUAUAUAAGUCUGAUGUGAAAAUGCAGGGCUCAACUCUGUAUUGCGUUGGAAACUGUAUAACUAGAGUACUGGAGAGGUAAGCGGAACUACAAGUGUAGAGGUGAAAUUCGUAGAUAUUUGUAGGAAUGCCGAUGGGGAAGCCAGCUUACUGGACAGAUACUGACGCUGAAGCGCGAAAGCGUGGGUAGCAAACAGGAUUAGAUACCCUGGUAGUCCACGCCGUAAACGAUG
rnacentral:rRNA from 1 species